rnacentral:rRNA from 1 species
CUUGCUCCCUGAUGUUAGCGGCGGACGGGUGAGUAACACGUGGGUAACCUGCCUGUAAGACUGGGAUAACUCCGGGAAACCGGGGCUAAUACCGGAUGGUUGUCUGAACCGCAUGGUUCAGACAUAAAAGGUGGCUUCGGCUACCACUUACAGAUGGACCCGCGGCGCAUUAGCUAGUUGGUGAGGUAACGGCUCACCAAGGCGACGAUGCGUAGCCGACCUGAGAGGGUGAUCGGCCACACUGGGACUGAGACACGGCCCAGACUCCUACGGGAGGCAGCAGUAGGGAAUCUUCCGCAAUGGACGAAAGUCUGACGGAGCAACGCCGCGUGAGUGAUGAAGGUUUUCGGAUCGUAAAGCUCUGUUGUUAGGGAAGAACAAGUGCCGUUCAAAUAGGGCGGCACCUUGACGGUACCUAACCAGAAAGCCACGGCUAACUACGUGCCAGCAGCCGCGGUAAUACGUAGGUGGCAAGCGUUGUCCGGAAUUAUUGGGCGUAAAGGGCUCGCAGGCGGUUUCUUAAGUCUGAUGUGAAAGCCCCCGGCUCAACCGGGGAGGGUCAUUGGAAACUGGGGAACUUGAGUGCAGAAGAGGAGAGUGGAAUUCCACGUGUAGCGGUGAAAUGCGUAGAGAUGUGGAGGAACACCAGUGGCGAAGGCGACUCUCUGGUCUGUAACUGACGCUGAGGAGCGAAAGCGUGGGGAGCGAACAGGAUUAGAUACCCUGGUAGUCCACGCCGUAAACGAUGAGUGCUAAGUGUUAGGGGGUUUCCGCCCCUUAGUGCUGCAGCUAACGCAUUAAGCACUCCGCCUGGGGAGUACGGUCGCAAGACUGAAACUCAAAGGAAUUGACGGGGGCCCGCACAAGCGGUGGAGCAUGUGGUUUAAUUCGAAGCAACGCGAAGAACCUUACCAGGUCUUGACAUCCUCUGACAAUCCUAGAGAUAGGACGUCCCCUUCGGGGGCAGAGUGACAGGUGGUGCAUGGUUGUCGUCAGCUCGUGUCGUGAGAUGUUGGGUUAAGUCCCGCAACGAGCGCAACCCUUGAUCUUAGUUGCCAGCAUUCAGUUGGGCACUCUAAGGUGACUGCCGGUGACAAACCGGAGGAAGGUGGGGGAUGACGUCAAAUCAUCAUGCCCCUUAUGACCUGGGCUACACACGUGCUACAAUGGACAGAACAA